CAAAGUGCUCUGUACCAAAUGCAAACCACAGCAUGAGAGAACAAUCUUGGGAGCUUCUGGAGCACUUGGAUGUCACCAUCCUUCAUUUUGGUGCCACCAAGAGUUAGUUUUACGAGGCUAUCCAGCGAUGCAACCCAGCUUGGCAACGCUUCCAGUCUUUCAUACAGUAGGAGGCUUUGUAGGAGCAAGGGUGGGGAGGACGAAAAAAUCAAGAGGCAAGGAAAAGGUUCUACCAUCUGUUUCAAUUGAGAGUGACCGGAGGCACUUGCUCAGCUUCUCAAUGACUGCAAGUAGAGCCUCCCAUUCUCCUUGUUCGGACCAUUGCGUGACCGUAUCCGGAGCUUCCUCAAUUGUGUCAAACAUCCAAUCUCUUGUAGCAUCCAAUAUGUGUCAUCUGAGAUCUCUAUCAACCCCAAGUUGUUGCUACUUCAUCGCCGAGUGAUUGAUUUGGGAAUGAUGGAAAUUCUCAUAUAAUCAGGGCUCUACAUGGCCGAUGGAAGUUUGGGUGCCUGUUCAAGGUCGCCGGAAUGAACACGCACUUCGACCGCACGCAAUCACGGUGCACAUCCUCGUCGCCAAGCGCAGGCUUUGAACGAAUUGUGGCCUUUUGGACGAAUGAAUCGCCGAAGCUUUUCUGACGCAAAGGAAACGUGAGGGAUGCCUGUUUGGUUUGCAGACAAAACUUACCGCACUUUGUUAUAUUUGCCACAAUCUGUCAAGUCUACGAUUAGCUAAGUUUGACAAGUUUAAAUAAUAUCUAUUUAGUUGUAGCCACAGUUGCAGUAAGAUUCUUUGCAGCAGACUGGAUCCUACACGUUAACGACUCAGAAAAGUACGCAAGAUUCUCUUA